rnacentral:rRNA from 1 species
AUGAAUUCCUUGAAUAUCCAUGAUGCUAAUGAUAUGCAAAGCCACAAGCUUGGGGAAGCUAUGUUUGAUGAAGAUGAUAUUUUUUGUCCCCCAAGUUUUGAUGAGCAAAUUUACUAUGAUGAAAGCAUGCCUACUAUCUAUGAUGAUUAUUGUGAUGUCACGUAUGCUUUAAAGAAUAAUGAUAACCAUGAAACUUGUCAUCUUGAUCUUAAUUUUCAAUCACAUGACAGUUAUUUUGUUGAGUUUGCUCCCACUAGUAUUAAUGAGAAGAACCUUGCUUAUGUGGAGAGUAGUAAAUUUUCUAUGCUUGUAGAUCAUGGAAAGAAUGCUUUAGGUGAUGGUUAUAUUAUUCAAUUCAUUCAUGAUGCUACUGAAAAUUAUUAUGAGGGAGGAACAUAUGCUUGUAGGAAUUGCAAUAAUAUCAAGUUUCCUCUCUAUGUGCUUAAAGUUUUGAAGUUAUGCUUGUUUUACCUUCCUAUGCAAGUUGAUUCUUGUUCCCACAAGUUGUUUGCUCACAAAAUCCCUAUGCAUAGGAAGUGGGUUAGACUUAAAUGUUCUUGUCAUAUUCUUCUUGAUGCUCUCUUUAUGUUUCAAUCCUUAUCUUUUGUGAGCAUCAUUGAAAUCAUCAUGCCUAGCUAG